ACCUGGUGAUGGAAUCAAAGGCAAGAAAGCUUAUCCCCCAAUUCUGCCUGCAUUGACAAACCAAACACUUUACCUUUUGGGUUACUCGAGGCAUCUGAACAACUCAAUGUGGCGGUGCGUCAACUCAACCUUCGUUAACAGAACUGGAAUUUGGGUGCACCGAAACAUCACUUUGGCUUACUAUAAUCUAACUGAGCGGUUGCAAUGG